GUAGAUUAUAAUUUGCAAAGGUUUUUGGUAUAGUGAUAUCUCACUUCGUCUGAAUUGUGAUUCGGAGAAGGGCGACCUCGGCUGUCUUAGGAUUGAGACGGACUCCUGUUAAUCUGAUUAAGAUUCAAUCUGUCAUCUCAUCUGCUAUUGCCUGGAUACUUGGUUAGUCGAGAAAAACCUAAAAAUGGCGGGAUUUUAGAAGACUUGGUAUGCAAGAAUCGACUAAUUCCAAAACGCAACGGAAGCUGACUUCCGUCAUUAUCUGCUGGUGCUACUUAAAAUGCAACAAGGAUAACGCUGGAUCCGAGAUGCGUUACGCCUGUACGGGACUUUUACAAAUGAUUGUUGGCUCUUUCAUUACUGAAUGUAUAAAUGGAUCUCUCUGAAUGAGGAACCUGACCAGAUAAGUUGUUUUAGAAUCUGUUGUUCCUGUAAACCCAAACAGUUCAGAAAGUUUCUUCAGAAAAUCCAGUCCGGAAGAUCCGAAGUAAUCGAAUUUAACAUGGAGAUCAAUAUCUGUGUUCAAGAUAUUUUGCCUACACGUUUUAUGUCAAUACUUUCAAAAUUCGAAGUGUACAUCAAUAGAGUUGAAAAUCGUAUGGAGAUAUCGACAACUUUUAUAAGGAAAGCUAUAUUUAGCAGCAAUGCCAAUCAAAGCGAACUUUGUAGGGAUGCAGUUAAAUCUGAUAUAGAUUCAGAGAGAAUUUGAGGCCAUCCUCCGAAAGUAAACUUUUACACAAGCCAGGCUGUCAUGGAUGAUGCACUGGUGCUCCACCAAUCUGCUCACUUCUUGCGUGGGAAGUCCAUAACCGUGAACUACCCGAGUGGCUGUUAUCGUCACCAAUAAUCAUCAUGCGUGAUGAUUCCCUGUAGUGCUUCUUGCAGCAUACAGUGCACCCACGAAUUUGGACAAGGCUCUCUGCAUUGGAAAGCGUAUUUCAUGAAAAUACUCCAGAAGUGACCGAACAAGGCAUCUCUUCUAAAUUCUAAUGUCAUUUUUUAAACGUGAUUGUAGGAAGAUUGUGAACAGUUUGACAACUUUUGUAAUAAUUUCUAAAAUA